GACGAACGCUGGCGGCGUGCUUAACACAUGCAAGUCGAACGGUGAAGCUCCAGCUUGCUGGAGUGGAUCAGUGGCGAACGGGUGAGUAACACGUGAGCAACCUGCCCCUGACUCUGGAAUAAGCGCUGGAAACGGCGUCUAAUACUGGAUACGAGAAGGGUCCGCAUGGGCACUUUCUGGAAAGUUUUUCGGUUGGGGAUGGGCUCGCGGCCUAUCAGCUUGUUGGUGAGGUAAUGGCUCACCAAGGCGACGACGGGUAGCCGGCCUGAGAGGGCGAACGGCCACACUGGGACUGAGACACGGCCCAGACUCCUACGGGAGGCAGCAGUGGGGAAUAUUGCACAAUGGGCGAAAGCCUGAUGCAGCGACGCCGCGUGAGGGAUGACGGCCUUCGGGUUGUAAACCUCUUUCAGCAGGGAAGAAGCGAAAGUGACGGUACCUGCAGAAGAAGCACCGGCUAACUACGUG
rnacentral:rRNA from 1 species